CCAAUAGCGUAUAUUAAAGUUGCUGCAGUUAAAAAGCUCGUAGUUGAAUUUCGGGAUCAAUAUGUUGGUCGUGCCUUGGUACGUACUAGCUUAUUGAUUUCUUCCUUCUGACGAACCAUGAUGUCAUUAAUUUGGUGUCUUGGGGAAUCAGGACUGUUACUUUGAAAAAAUUAGAGUGUUUAAAGCAGGCUCACGCUUGAAUACAUUAGCAUGGAAUAAUGAAAUAGGACGUUUGAUUCUAUUUUGUUGGUUUCUAGGAUCGACGUAAUGAUUAAUAGGGAUAGUUGGGGGCAUUAGUAUUCAAUUGUCAGAGGUGAAAUUCUUGGAUUUAUUGAAGACUAACUACUGCGAAAGCAUUUGCCAAGGAUGUUUUCAUUAAUCAAGAACGAAAGUUAGGGGAUCGAAGACGAUCAGAUACCGUCGUAGUCUUAACCAUAAACUAUGCCGACUAGGGAUCGGAUGAUGUUAAUUUUUUAAUGACUCAUUCGGCGCCUUACG
rnacentral:misc_RNA from 1 species